rnacentral:lncRNA from 1 species
UGAGAGAUGGAUCGCGCCACCGCCGCUCAUGGUUUGAAGGAAGACCAUGAUGAAUCUGGCAAUGGCAUGACAUGGGGCAACAACAAGUCCCAUCUAGACCGUUUCUUCUUGAUUAAUUUAGCUUCUACAUUUUCGCCCUUUAUUUCAAGCUAAAAAAGAACAAGAGUUGUGAGACUUGCUUGAAGGCGAUUGUAGGUACAGUAAUUAUCUAUAGAUGUCAUAAGAGAUGAAUGCUCCAUGCUGUUACAGUUGAAGAACAAUGUGAUUGACUGAUGGUAGAUCAAUGAACAGUAUGCAAAAUAACUCUGGUGUCAAUGUUGUGUCUUGUGUUUACAUUCUGCGUUGGUACGACUGAAAAGUGAGAUGUCCAGAAGAAACGAUCGUAGAAAUGUAGAAAGGAUAUGAUGGCAGUUCGCUACAUUUUUUUUUGAGGGGCGCAGUUCGCUACAUCUUCUCAACCAAGCUUUUCUGGUCCUCCUUCCUAAGAAAGACUCCCCACUGGACUUGGCCAAUUUCGGCCCGAUAAGCCUUGUGCACAGCUUUCCCAAGCUUCUGCAAAGGUGCCCACCAUAGCCCAUUUCCGCCCGGUAAGCAUUGUGCACAGCUUCCCCAAGCUUCUUGCAAAGGUGCUCGCCUUGGCCGAUUUCUGCCCGAUAAGCGUUGUGCACAACUUGCCCAAGCUUCUCGCAAAGGUGAGCCUUAGCUGAAUUCCGCCCGACAAGCUAUGUGGACAACUUCCUCUAGCUUCUUGCAAAGGUGCUGGCGAAUCGACUAGCCCAACGUCUCUAUGAGCUCAUCUUGUCCCCAAAGAGCAUUCGUGAAGGGUGCCAUCUCUCCUCCUCAAACUUGACAUAUCGAAAGCAUUUGAUUUCGAGGCAUGGUCAUUCCUCUUGGAGGUACUGGGGGUUUGGCUACAAGUGGAUCAAUCUCAUCACUUGCUCCUCCGUUCGUCCUUGUCACCAGGUUUAUCCUAUCUCACCGAUGAUCUUCCUUCUUGUCAUCAAUGUGCUAGAUGCCUUGAUCGGGGAAUUUGACCAUGAGUACAUUCUGCUUCCUCUCUCUAUGUGGGGCAUCACGCCUCCCUAUUCGCAGAUGAUGUGGCUCUCUUCUUGCGCCCCAUCGUCCAGUACAUGGCCGCAACAAAGACGAUCCUUGAGAUUUAUGGGAAUGCUUCAGGCCUCAAAAGUGAACUUGUCCAAGAGCGCUAUAAUCCCCAUCAGGUGUGAUGACAUCAACCCGCACGAGCUCAAGGAUGUCUUCCCUUGUGCGACCAUGCCAGUUCCUAUCAAGAACCUUGGGCUCCCCCUCUCCAACUCGAGGCUCCAGAAACGAGACUACACCUCCUGGUGGACAGUUUGCUAACAAGCUGCCUACGUGGAAGGCUGGACUAAUCCCCACAAGCGGACGCAUCAUCCUUCUCAACUUUAUCAUCACCGCUACCGGGAUUUACUUUCUUCUUGCUCUCGACCUUCCCCAUGGAUGCUCAAGGCGUCCGAAAAAAUCGGCGCGAGUUCUUUUGGGCCAGGUCUGAUUGCACUGAGGGAGGCCAAUGUCUCGUCGCCUGGGGAAACUUCUACACCCUAGUCCAAUUUGACGGCCUAGGUACUAAAAAACUCAAGGCUCUAAACGAUGCCUUCACUCGAAGUGGUUGUGGGCUGCAAAACCUCUGAUGAUCUCCCAUGGUCUGCACUUGAGCUCUCUGCAUCAGAUGAGGCCGAUGCCAUCUUUGGAGCAUCAACAAGGCUGGAGGUAUGGUGCUUCUACUCUAUCGGUGGGACUGUUGAAUCGAUGGAGCCAACAUUCCGUGGAACAAUGCCUCGUGGACUCGGGACAUCAGAGGGUGGCUCCGCCGACGCAAUUAUCCAGUUCUUAGAGUUGUGGCAGAAGAUCAUUAGUCGACAACCGCUUCUCCUGGGCCUAGACUUCUAGUUGUGGAAAUGGAAUCCGCCAGGCUCCCACUCGACCAAAACAACAUACGUGGCUACCUUUGCUGGAAGCAUUGAUCAUCCAAGGGCAUCGCUCAAGUAUAAGAUUUUCACCUGGCUGGUCAUGCGCAAUCGUUGAUGGUCUUCUAACUGACUGGCCAAGCGCAGGCUACCUCACCAACAGUCAUGCCCCAUAUGCUGCAAGCACGAGAAAACGAUGGAACACGUGCUCCUCCAAUGUGUGUUCGCCCACAAGGUUUGGUCAAAAAUUAUUAACUGGAUCGGCCUACAUCAACAUUCCCCUUCCACCAAAGAUUCCAUCCUAGAUUAGUGAACAUCUCUCCAGCUGGUUGUGCCUCACAAGCUUAAAAAAACUGUGAACUCAGUUGUCAUGUGAACGCUUAGCUACAUAUGGCUCGAGAGAAACAGAAGGGUGUUCAAGAACACCUCCCACCUUCCACUGGCGGUCAUUGACAAGGCUAGGGACCAUUGUUGCGGGUGGAGCAACAACAGUAUUCUUAAGCGAGUUGUAACGUAGUUUGCUAGGAAGAAUCAUUGGGAUGUCAUUCUGUCCUAGUGCUUCAAGCACAAUCUUGAUGUAAAUUGGUAAAAUGUAAACUGCCUUUUGUAUUAAUAUGUAGGCACACAGAUCUCCUGGGUGUUCUUGAAAAAAUGUAGAAAGUAAAUUCCACUUUUUACUAGGAAGUUAUCAUAGUGGAACAUUGGGGAACAUGUGAAUUGUGAUUUUUUCACACAACUUUUGACUUUACACUCAUAAUUCUAUAUACUUUUUAUUUAGAAAAUAACAUCAUAUUCGGCUGGAUUUAGAAAGGAUGAUCAAGUGACAUAAUAUAUAUUGGGAUCUAAAAUUUUGUGACAUUUCUUUACUUUCUUCACACCUGUACUACUUACUAUGUUGGUCUUGAUUUGUGCUUUAUUUAUAAAGUAGAGAGAAAACUUAUUUUGAGAGUACUUUAUAUUUUACACACAUAAGAAAAUCAACUACCUAGAUCUAGAUCUAAGAAUAUGCAUUGCUACUUACCAAGAGUAAAAGGCCAGGUGGAUAGGGGGGCGCCGCUGCCAGCCGCGGCGUCAUCAGCGAGGCCAAGCCAAGCCUAUACGGGAGAUGAGGAUGACAUGGUUGUGAUCGUGGCUUCGCUAGCCUAGGUGAGGUUGAUGUUUGACAGUGCAUGUGGAAGGGUGACUUAGAAGGAUGCCCCGGGGUGGUGGCGAGAGCAAGGUGGCGGCGGUCGAUGGUUAUAGGUGGAAUCGACCGGGCGGGGGCGAGAAGGUGAAGGGGAUCGGCNNNNNNNNNNNNNNNNNNNNNNNNNNNNNNNNNNNNNNNNNNNNNNNNNNNNNNNNNNNNNNNNNNNNNNNNNNNNNNNNNNNNNNNNNNNNNNNNNNNNNNNNNNNNNNNNNNNNNNNNNNNNNNNNNNNNNNNNNNNNNNNNNNNNNNNNNNNNNNNNNNNNNNNNNNNNNNNNNNNNNNNNNNNNNNNNNNNNNNNNNNNNNNNNNNNNNNNNNNNNNNNNNNNNNNNNNNNNNNNNNNNNNNNNNNNNNNNNNNNNNNNNNNNNNNNNNNNNNNNNNNNNNNNNNNNNNNNNNNNNNNNNNNNNNNNNNNNNNNNNNNNNNNNNNNNNNNNNNNNNNNNNNNNNNNNNNNNNNNNNNNNNNNNNNNNNNNNNNNNNNNNNNNNNNNNNNNNNNNNNNNNNNNNNNNNNNNNNNNNNNNNNNNNNNNNNNNNNNNNNNNNNNNNNNNNGCGAGGCAUUCGAUAGACGAAGGAAGAAGGGGAAAGUUUCUGACACUGAGUUUAUAGAAGUUUAGGCUUGCUUGAAAAGUGACACGGUGUUGAUUUGUCUUUUAUCUCAUACGUAUUACAUGUCAGCCAAUGAAAAUGAUGGUUAGCUUCGGAGAAUUCCCUAUUUGUCCAUUUUAAAAAUGUGCUUCUCUGUUUGGUCCUGAAUGAAAUACACCUUACCAUUAGCUGACUACCAAAUAAACAUGAUGGAGGGGAAACUAGUUUCUGUAGGAUGAGGGGCAAAAGUGUAUUUUCAAGAGUCAUUCGAUAUCAUCCCUGAAAGAAAUGGACGGUAGUAUCAAAACAUGAAUACAUUUUAAACGUGAUAUUAAAAGGGAGAAUUGUUUAUUUUGGACCAAAUAGGCAAGCAUGCUUUUAAAUAGGACCAAAUAUUAUUUAUUUUGGACCAAAAUAUGAAGCAUGAAAAAUACCAAAUAUGGAAGCAUAUAUUUUUAAAAUGCCAAAUAAUGAAUUUUAGGACUACAUUUACGAUCAGCUCUCUCUUCACACAAGUUAUUUUCUAAUGUGUCUCUGGGUAGGCAAUUUAGCCGAGCAAUUUGAAAACCAUGUUAGUGACACCGUUUCCUUAGAGAGCUCUUUCAAGAUGGUCCCAAUUCGAUACGAGCCAUCAAUUUUUCAAGAUCAGAUGGCAUAUAUUACUCCUAUCUCUUGUGAGGUAAGAUGUUGUCAAUGAUUAUGUGGGAUUAGUAUGAACUUUUCAUUUCUACAAAGUUAGAAAAUAAAUUAUAGUGCCAUUAAACACAUGAAGGUAAAUAAAGAAAUAAAUAUGUAUUCUAAUAGAUUUCAUAUUUGCUUUCCGAUCUUGGUUUGGCUACAAGGUAAUAGUGGUGUAUUUUUCAUUUUGACUUAACACUACAUUCAAUAUGGUACUAGAUCAUGUAAUUUGCGCAAAUGAUGUGGCAUUUGUAAGCAAUACACACGAAUAUAUCAUACGCAAUACACAAUAUUUUUAAUUCAAUAUGGUGAUUAUGUAUUAAUCAUGUAAGUAAUUUUAAGAAACUAUAUUUCCAACAUUAGAAUACAUACACAUACAAAAUAUGAGCAGGCAUACUUGAGUAUGAAAAAUAUAAAACUUUAGAUAUUUAAAUGGAGUUGACAUGAUGACAUAUGUCAUUUUUUUAUAUUCUAAAACCACUUGCCCUGAGAUUAAGAAAAUCAUACUUCAAAGAUGUAAUAUACAUAUGUAUCUCGCAAAAAUAUACACACACAUGCCAUAUUUUAUUUUCACCAAACAUAUGUACUUCCUUUGAUCCAUAUUAAUUGUUUCACAUUUAGUACAUAUAAAUUCCCCCCUAAAAAGAUACAUAGUAUAAAUGAAAUUGUAUAUCUUUGGAUAGAGGGAAAUCUCUUCUUGGAAAAUAUAUCACUAAAUGUAUCAAUAAUGCAUUCACUUAAUUGUAAGUUGUACUAAAAAGGAGCGUUCUCGACUAAAAAGAUACCGCAUAGUAUAAAUGAAAUUAUAUAUCUUUAGGUAGAGGGAAAUCUCUUCUUGGAAAAUAUAUCACUAAAUCUAUCAAUAAUGCAAACCCUUAAUUGUUUUGUUGCAGUUGCCAUAUGUGGAUAGUCAAAAUUGUCCUUGGUCAAUCAGUGGCUAGGAUUAAAUUGUCCUGAUCAUCUUAAAAUUCCACCUUACACGAGAACAAGUUUUUUGCAUGAUCCAUCUAUAUUUCUGGUUUUUCUUUUGAUAGGGGAAAGACUUAUUUAAACAAUUAUCGUUUUGAUAAAAGAGAAUCUCCUCUCUGAUUUCUAUUAAGAUAAAUCACCAAGUCCUACAGACAAACCAUACAAGCAAAAGAAAAACAAUGCAUGAUCUACCACCUAAAAUAUGGGCCUGUGAAGCCAACCUAGACCAGACGCGUCAAAUAACAGAAAUCAUCCAUCCCCCAUACACACAAAACGGGAUCCCCACAAGAUCAGGUCUCCAGUAGGAGGUAUAACAACAGGCCAACAAAGCUAGACUCCAAAUACACACCACUACCAAGUUCUACAUAACAGUGUUUAUAUGAGAUCAAAGGAACAAAGGAAACGUGUAGCGGAGAGGGCGAUCCAAGAGCAGACUCUUGUUGGAGGAGAUCCCGAAGACCAGGAACACAAUAGUGAGAUCGCUUAUAUAAGAUGAUAUAUCCCUGGAGGCAAAUUUAGCUAAGCUACCGGCCACUAGAUUAGCGGCAUGCUUACAGUCUAUUGAAGGAGCAAGUAUUGAACUCGUCUGUUUCCAUCCCCUCACGCACUUGUGUGGUCCGGCUGUGAUUUUGCACAGGAGAAACAACUAUCUGUGGCCAGUAUCGAGUUAGCACUUUGCACUUGACCGCAAAAGGCAGCAACAUAGCCGCCCUACUAGAGCGUUUUUAGUUGUCGUCUCAAUUUUUUCCUGCAUUGCAUACACUUCCCAGCCGAGUCUGGCUGAGAGAAAACAGACAAAAAACCAACAUCUGCACCUAGUUUGGUUGACUACAUACCCUCUUCCUGCAUUAGAGGAUAGCUUUGCGCACGGUGUUUGGCGUCCUACAUCGUCUGAACUCACACAUGUACACGUUUUUUGGUUGCACACAUGCAUCAAGUUGUGCUAACCUUGUACCCUAUGUGGUGAGAUUAACCGUUGCACCUUACACACAAUCACAACGACCACACUAACGCCACACCACUGCAAUGGCGACGAACUGUAGGAGGAUGAUUAAGUUCUUCACCCCAAAGUGUGGCACCGCCUUGCCAACUUCAACCUUGCAUGCCUGCUUUCGCACAAACUUGGAGUAAGCAUCUUCUGCCGCCUGCCAAGUCUUAAACCCUCUGUGGCUACUAUGCUUGUACCCUGAAACUUGUUCAUUGCAAGCUUCCCAUGAACUGUAAAACCCUGGAGCCCUCCCGAUGAACACCUUAUACCAUUUGUCCUAGCAAUGCACAAGAGCAAGCUCAUGCAACAAAGCAAUGGAGCACACAAGCAGCAAGCAAUUGAGCACACAAACAGAAAGCAUUGGAGCAUAAGAGCAGUAGUAAGCAUGCAUGAUCAUACAACAUAGCAAGUUCAACCUAGCACAAAUGGUGCCAUCCUACCACCACAUCCAAACGAGGGUGUAAUCCUACCACUGCAAGUUCACCAUCACCGUGAGGGGUUAGUAUGAAGGAAAUAUGCCCUAGAGGCAAUAAUAAAGUUUAUAUUUUAUAUUAUAUUUCCUUAUUCAUGAUAAAGGUUUAUUAUUCAUUUUAGAAUUGUAUUGAUCAGAAACUUAAAUACAUGUGUGAAUACAUAAACAAAUACCGUGUCCCUAGUAAGCCUCUACUAGACUAGCUCGUUGAUCAAAGGUGGUUAAGGUUUCCUAACCAUAGACAUGUGUUGUCAUUUGAUAACGGGAUCACAUCAUCAGGAGAAUGAUGUGAUGGACAAGACCCAUCCUUUAGCUUAGCAUAUUGAUCGUUCAGUUUAUUGCUAUUGCUUUCUUCAUGUCAAAUACUUAUUCCUUCUACUAUGAUAUUAUGCCACUCCCGGAUACCGGAGGAAUACCUUGUGUGCUAUCAAAUGUCACAACAGAACUGGGUGAUCAUAAAGAUGCUCUACAGGUAUCUACGAAGGUGUUUGUUGAGUUGGCAUAGAUCGAGAUUAGGAUUUGUCACUCCGAGUAUCGGAGAGGUAUCUCUGGGCCCUCUCGGUAAUACACAUAUUAAGCUUGCAAGCAAAUGACUAAGGAGUUAGUCACAAGGUGAUGUAUUACGGAACGAGUAAAGAGACUUGCCGGUAACGAGAUUGAGCUAGGUAUGAAGAUACCGACGAUCGAAUCUCGGGCAAGUAACAUACCGAUGGACAAAGGGAAUUAUGUAUGUUGUCAUAAAGGUUCGACCGAUAAAGUUCUUCGUAGAAUAUGUAGGAGCCAAUAUGGGCAUCCAGGUUCCGCUAUUGGUUAUUGAUCGGAGAAGUGUCUCAGUCAUGUCUACAUAGUUCUUGAACCCGUAGGGUCCGCACGCUUAACGUUCGAUGUCGAUUUGGUAUUAUAUGAGUUAUGUGGUUUGGUGAACGAAUGUUGUUCGGAGUCCCGGAUGAGAUCACGGACAUGACGAGGAGCUACGGAAUGGUCCGGAGGUAAAGAUUGAUAUAUAGAACGAUGCUAUUUGGUCUCCGGAAUGGUUUCAGAAUGCAUCCAAAAGUUAUGGGAAUACCGGAAGGGGUUCCGGAGGCACCGGGAGACUAUUGGGCCUUAUUAGUCCAUGUAGAGGGAACAAACCAGCCCACACAAGCUGGUGCUCCCCCCUAAGGCAGCCACGCCCAAUUAGAUGGAAAGGGGAGGCGCCACCUCCUCCUACCAUAUCUCUGGAAGGGAGAUAGGAAAGAGAAGGGGCGCCUCCCCCCUUUCCUUCUCCCUUGUGCAUUAUAUGGAAGGGGGGCACACCACUAGGAAAACCCUAAGGUGGUCGCGCGCCCUAUUGGAGGCGCCCUAGGGCUGCCUCCUCCCCUCCCACACCUAUAUAUAUGUGGGGAGGGGUGCCACACAAUACACAACUUAUUCCACGCCGUGUGUCAGCACCCCUCCGCCUCUAGUUUACUCCUCCACUCUAGAUCGUCACAAUGCUUAGGGGAAGCCUUGCGGGAUUGCUCCACUACCACCGUCACCAUGCCGUUAUGCCGACGGAACUCAUCUACUACCUCUCCCCGCUUGCUGGAUCAAGAUGGCGAGGACGACACCGAGCUGAACAUGUGUAGAACGCGGAGUUGACGUGCGUUCAGUACUUGAUCGGGCAGAUCACGAAGGUGUACGACUACAUCAACCGCGUUGAAUAAACUCUUCCACUUACAGUCUACGAGGGUACGUAGACACACUCUCCCCCUCUCGUUGCUAUGCAUCUCCAUGUAUAGAUCAUUGCGUGUGCGUAGAUUUUUUUUGUUUUCCAUGCAACGAUUCCCAACAGUGGCAUCAUGAUCCAUGUCUAUGCGUAGAUGAUAUGCACGAGUAGAACACAAAGAGUUGUGGGUGGUGAUAGUCAUACUGCUUACCACCAAUGUCUUAUUUUGAUUCGGCGGUAUUGUGGGAUGAAGUAGCCCGGACCAACCUUACAUGUCCACGCACAUGAGAUCGGUUCCACCGACUGACAUGCAACUAGUUUUGCAUAAAGGUGGCUGGCGGGCGUCUGUUUCUCCUACUUUAGUUGAAUUGAAUUUGACUACGGCCGGUCCUUGAAAAAGGUUAAAACAACAAACUUGACGAAUCACCGUUGUGGUUUUUCCGUAGGUAAGUGAUACGUCUCCAACGUAUCUACUUUUCCUAAUGCUUUUCCUCUUGUUUUGGACUCUAAUUUGCAUGAUUUGAAUGAAACUAACCCCGGACUGACUCUGUUUUCAGCAAAACUACCAUGGUGUUGUUUUUGUGCAGAAAUAAAAGUUCUCAGAAUUGAAUGAAACUUUGCGAGGAUUUUUUAUUUCAAUAAAGAGAAUUUCUGGAGCCAAGAGCCACCUGAGGGGGGCACCUGGGUGGGUACAACCCACCAGGGCACGCCUGCCCCCCAUGCGCGCCCAGGUGGGUUGUCCCCACUGGUGGCCCUGCAGACCCUGAAACCGACGCAAUAAAAUCACAUAUUUCCAGAAAAAAAUCAAGGAGAAAGAAUUAUCGCGAUCCACGAGACAGAGCUGCGGUCACCUCCUGUUCUUCAUCGGGAGGCCUGGUCUGGAGUCCCUCUGGGGCUCCGAAGAGGGGGAUCUUCGUUCUUCAUCAUCACCAACCCUUCUCCAUCGCCAAUUACAUGAUGCUCUCCACCGGGACUGAGGAAUUCCUUCGUAGGCUCACUGGUCGGUGAGGAGUUGGAUGAGAUUCAUCAUGUAAUCUAGUUAGUUUUGUUAGGGCUUGAUCCCUAGUAUCCACUAUGUUCUGAGAUUGAUGUUGCUAUGACUUUGCCAUGCUUAAUGCUUGUCACUUUCGGCCCGGGUGCCAUGAUUUCAGAUCUGAACCGUUUAUGUUAUCACAAUUAUAUCCAUGUUUUAGAUCCGAUCUUGCAAGUUAUAGUCACCUACUAUGUGUUAUGAUCCGGCAACCCCGGAGUGACAAUAGUUGGGACCACUCCUGGUGAUAACCGUAGUUUGAGGAGUUCAUGUAUUCACCGUGUGUUAAUGCUUUGUUCCGGUUCUCUAUUAAAAGAAGGCCUUAAUAUCCCUUAGUUUCCAAUUGGACCCCACUGCCACGGGAGGGUAGGACAAAAGAUGUCAUGCAAGUUCUUUCCAUAAGCACGUAUGACUAUUUACGGAAUACAUGCCUACAUUAUAUUUAUGAACUGGAGCUACUGCCAUUUCACCCUAGGUUAUGACUGACACAUGAUGAAUAUCAUCCAAAAAAUUACCGAUCCAAUGCCUACGAAUUUAUCCUAUAUUGUUCUUGCUAAGUUACCACUGCUAUCGUUACUAUUGCACUUGCUAUAAAACUACUGCUAUCACUGUUACCGUUGCUAUUGCUGCUGCUACUAUUAUCAAAACUAUCAUAUUACUUUGCUACAGAUAAUUAAUCUCCCGGCGUGGUUGAAUUGACAACUCGGCUGCUACACUUGCAAGUAUUCUUUGGCUCCCGCUGUGUCGAAUCUAUAAAUUUGGUUGAAUACUCUACCCUCGAAAACUGUUGUGAUUCCCUAUACUUGUGGGUUAUCGAGACCUUUUUCUGGCGCCGCUGUCGGGGAGCAUAGCUAUAUUUGUUGAUUCACUUGGGAUUAUUAUAAAUUUAUCAGUAUGAAGAAUCUGAAGGAUGCUAAGACUAAGAUUUAUCGCUCUAAGACGAGGGGAGGUAAGGAACUGCCAUCUAGCUCUGCUUUAGAUUCACCUUCUGUUAUAAGUAAACUUGCAACACCACCACAUGCUAUCAAUCCUGAUAUGUCGCAAGUUGUUGAUGAUGUUACUUCUGCUAUGAAUGAUACUUAUGAUGAUGCUAGUACCUUGCUUGAUGAUAAUGAUGUGCCACUAGGUGAAUUUCUUGAUGAACAAAUUGCUACUGUAAGACAACAUGAUGUUGUUGAAUAUGAUGAUGAGCUUGAAACUAAAAAUCUUGAAACACCUACUAGCCCUCCCAGAUAUGAAAUGCCUAGGGUAUUGUAAGAUUAUGUUAUGAAUGAGGAAACAACUAGAGACAUUCUUGGUUGUAAGGAUAGAGAUGAUCUAGAGAAAUUAUUAUGCAAGUAUAAAGAAAAAUCUAUGAAUGCUAGAAUGCAAUAUGAUCCUAAGUUUGCUACUUCACCUAUCUUUAUUGAUGAUAAGGAUUAUGAAUUCUCUGUCGACCGGGAGUUAAUUACUUUGGUUGAAUCUGAUCCUUUCCAUGGUUAUGAAAUUGAAACUCUUGUGGCACAUCUUACUAAGUUGUAUGACGUAGCCACCCUUUUUACUCAUGAUGAGAAAACUCGCUAUUACUAUAUUCUCAAAUUAUUUCCGUUCUCAUUAAAGGGUGAUGCUAAAGCUUGGUACAAUACUCUUGCUCCUGGUCGUGUGCGUAGUCCCCAGGAUAUGAUUUAUUACUUCUCUGAAAAAUAUUUCCCUGCUCAUAAGAAACAAGCUGCCUUGCAGGAAAUAUUUAACUUUGUGCAAAUUAAAGAAGAGAGUCUCCCACAAGCUUGGGGGAGGCUUUGCCAAUUGCUUAAUGCUUUGCCUGAUCAUCCUCUUAAGAAAAAUGAAAUACUUUAUAUCUUCUAUAAUGGACUAACCGAUGCUUCUAGGGAUUUCCUAGAUAGUUGUGCUGGUUGUGUUUUCCGGGAACGAACUGCUGGGCAAGCUGAAGAAUUAUUGAAUAACAUAUUGAAAAAUUAUGAUGAUUGGACUCUUCCUGAACCACCGCUUAAACUCACGCUGAAGAAGAGGGGUAUCUUAUAUCUCAGUCCUGAAGAUAUGCAAGAGGCAAAGAAAUCUAUGAAGGAAAAAAGGUAUUAAAGCCGAGGAUGUCAAAAAUUUACCUCCUAUUGAAGAAAUACAUGGGAUUGAUACACCACCACUGCCUAAUGUAGUAGAGGUAAAUUGUAUAAUGAAAUUCAAUGAUAAUGACAAUCCUCACAAUAUGCACCCUAGCCAAUGCCUUUAUGAGUUUGAAAACUACAUUAGAAAACAAGAUCACUUCAAUGCAAAUGUUAUGAAACAAUUGAAAUACAAUUCUGAUAUGAUUGCUCGCUUGAGUGAGUUGUUAUUUAGAAUCUCAAAUGAUGUUAGAGGUGUAGGGAAGCAUGCUUCUAUGGUUCAAACUUAGUUAGAACAAGUUGCUAAAUGUCAAAGAGAGUUGCUUGAUGAAAUGAAUAAUACUAUUAGUGACUUUGCUAUUAGAGUAGCAACUAGAGGAGGUAAAAUGACACAGGAACCACUUUAUCCUGAGGGACACCCAAAAAGAAUUGAACAAGACUCUCAAAGAGCUAACACUGAUGCACAUAGUCCUUCUAAAAAGAAAAAGAAAAAGAAAAAUGAUAGGACUUUGCAUGCCUCUAGUGAACCUGAAGUAGAAAAACCUCCUGAUAAUCAUAAUGAAAUUUCUAUCUCUGAUGCUGAAACUCAAUCUGGUAGUGAACAUUCACCUUCUGACAAUGAAAAAGAUAAUGAUGAGGUUCAUGAAAACACUCAAACAAAUAGUAAAGAACCAGACAAUGAUGUUGAGAUAGAACCACCAGUUGAUCUUGAUAACCCACAACCUAAGAAUACACGAUAUGAUAAAAGGGACUUUAUUGCUAGAAAACACAGUAAAGAAAGAGAACCGUGGGUUCAAAAAGCUAUGCCUUUCCACCUAAGUCAACUAAAAAGAAGAUGCUGAAGAAUUUGAACGCUUUGCUGAAAUGCUGAGGCCAGUCUUUUUGCGUACUCGCUUGACUGAUAUCUUAAAAAUGCCUACUUAUGCAAAGUACAUGAAAGACAUCAUCACCAAUAAGAGAAUAAUACCGAAAGCUGAAAUCUCCACCAUGCUUGCUAAUUAUAUCUUUAAAGAUGGCGUUCCUAAAAAACUUGGAGAUCCGGGAAUACCAACUAUACCUUGCUCCAUCAAAAGAAAUUAUGUGAAAACUGCUUUAUGUGAUUUGGGAGCCGGUAUUAGUGUUAUUCCUUUCUCUCUAUAUAAAGGUCUUGAUUUGAAUAAGCUCACACCUACUGAAAUAUCUUUGCAAAUGGCUGACAAAUCAACUGCCAUACCUAUCGGUAUUUGUGAGGAUGUGCCCGUUGUUGUUGCUAAUGUUACUAUUUUGACUGACUUUGUUAUACUUGAGAUGCCCGAGGACGACAACAUGUCGAUUAUCUUGGUAUACCAUUCUUGAAUACUAUAGGGGCUGUUAUUGAUUGCAAUAAAAGCAAGGCCACUUUUCAUAUCAAUGGUAAUGAGCAUACGGUGCACUUUUCGAAGAAACAAUUCCAAGUGAGUGGUAUUAAUGUUAUUGAAAAAUCUCCGACAAUCACUAUUGGAAGUUUUCAACUACCUCUACCUACUGCCAAAAAGAAAUAUGAAAUGCUUAUUAUUGGGGACAUUCAUAUCCUCGUUGAGGUAACUUACUGAUUUACGAAAGUUCUUCGGUUUCAUGCUAAUCGAAAGUGGUUGUUAAUAAGACUUGAUCAACCUUACUAAUGGAUCAUUUUUGAGAGGUGAAAGUGCGUUAUAUCAACUAGAGGGGGGGGGGUGAAUAGGCGAUUUUUAUGAAUUCUUCACUGAGGAAAUUCCUUAGCGAAGAGCUACUUGCAGCGGAAUAAGUACUCAAAAGUAAACAUAAUAGAAUACAAGCAUGGUCAUCAUGAUGAAAUGAAAACAAGCACAGAGUACUGAAAGCGUAAACACAGGAUAGCACAGGAUGAAGACAAACAGACUGAAGAAAUUGAACUGAGGAAAUUGAGAAAGUCUUCAGUCAAAGUCUUCAAACACAGAUAUGACAAGCACACAACACAGUAAUGAGGAAAUGAAAGAGUUGAGGAAAUAGAACCAGUAGGCUUGGUGAAGACAAUGAUUUGGUAGACCAGUUCCAACUGCUGUCUUAGUUGUACAUCUGGUUGGAGCGGCUAGGUAUUUAAACCUGAGGACACACAGUCCCGCACACACAGUCCUCACCGUAUUCCUUGAGCUAAGGUCACACAGACCUCACUCAAUCACUCGUGGUAAGUCUUCAGAUGACUUCCGAACCUUCACAAACUCGGUCACUCGGCGAUCCACAAUUCCUCUUGGAUGCUCUAGACCAUGAGGCCUAACCGUCUGGAAGAAGCACAGUCUUCAAAGGUAACAAGCGUCGGAUCCACGCAAGAUCAAUCUCUUCAGUGAUGCUCAAUCACUUUGGGUUUGUAGGUGUUUGGGUUUGGGUUUUCCUCACUCGAUGAUUUUCGCUCAAAGUCCUCGGAGGAUGGGAUGCUCUCAAAUGACAAGUGUUAGUUUCUCUCGGAGCAGCCAACCAGCUAGUGGUUGUAGGGGGCGGCUAUUUAUAGCCUAGGGAGCAGCCCGACAUGAUAAGACAUAAAUGCCCUUCAAUGAUAUGACCGUUAGGUGGGUAGAUAUUUUUGGGACAGCUGGCACAAGGCACAGCAACGGUCGGAAAUUUGAGUACCAAAUUCCUCAGGGCUAUCAUGUUCCUCACUGUGUAGGCAAUCCGCACUGGCGAAUUCCUAACUCCUCAGUCAGAACAAAUUCCUCAGAGACCAGAAGAACCUCGUCUCUCUCACUGAAGAAUAUGAUUGAACUAUACGAGAUUUCCAAUGGCUUCACUCGAAGGGAUUGGUAGGUGUAGGAUUUUGAGUUGAGCAUCACAUGGAAAUUUUUCCUUAGUAUUUCCUCGACCCCCUUUAACAGUACAGUGUUUCCUAUGACUCAAGGAAGAGAAAAUGAAACUACAAAAACAAAAGUCUUCACGCUUCAUGUUCCUCGAAUGAAUACCAAGUCUUCAAGGUCACACCAAUUUCUUCACUUUCAAAGUCUUCAGAAAUCCAAAGUCUUCAGUUGAAGAACUUCAUUUUUAGGGGUCGACUUUCUCUGUAAAUAUCAAACUCCUCAUAGACUUAUAGACAUGUGUACACUCAUAAACUCAUUAGUCUCUUAACCUAUAAGUCUUCAAUACACCAAAAUCACUAAGGGGCACUAGAUGGACUUACAAUCUCCCCCUUUUUGGUGAUUGAUGACAAUAUAGGUUAAGUUUUCAACGGGGAUAAACAUAUGAAGUGUAAAUACUAAUAUUGGGGAAUUUGAUUGCAAGAUAUAAAAGAACUCCCCCUGAAGAUGUGCAUAGUGAGGAAUUUGCUUUUGAAGCAAUACACACUUGAAGAGUUGAAUCAUGGAGAUAUCCCCCUUUAUCUUGUAAUUCAUACACGCAUAUGAAGAAUUUGAAAUGCAUGAUGAAAUAUGGUGACUGAUGUAAUUCAGCAUGCGUGCAAUAAUAUUAACGAGGAAUAAGCAUGCAGAAGAACACAACAAAAGUAUCAGGCCACCAUAGAGUUUAAGUUUACAACUCGAUCUAGCAAAGUCAUCAGAAGAACGAGAGUUGUAACUUAUAAAAAAACGCCCAUAUAAGAUAGACCCGCUUGAAGACUAACUCAAAUUUCUCCCCCUUUUGUCAUCGAAUGACCAAAAGGAUCGAAAAUGAGGACUAACGCCCCUGAAGAAUAUCAAGUUGAUGAAGGAGCGCCAGCAUUGUUGGGGUCGUUUGUCGUAGUAGGGCCUGCUGCAGUGUCGUCCAAGUCUUCAUGCUCAUCGGUGUCGCGCGAUGAAGAAUAGGGGCUGGCCACCAAGGAAGGAACCUUGACCUUCUUGUAUUUCUUUGGAGGAGGUGCAGACCAGUCAAAGUCUUCCUUGAGACCCAUUUUCUUCAGAUCUUCUUCACCAUAUACAUGUGACAGAAUAGCCCAGGUGCGAUCGAGGACUUCAUGGAGGUAGUAAUGGUUUUUCUUCACUGCAUUAUGUGUAGCAGUCAUGUUGUGAAGAAUUGAACCAAACUGACGCUUAACCCAUUUAUGGUUUCAAUCCACCUUCUGGUGAAGACUUAGCAGAAGCUCACGGUUAGUCAUCACACACGGAGCAGUGGCUUGAGGAUUUGGCUUGGAUGCAUGGGCAGCAGAAUCAUGAGUGGCAGAGUCAUCAUUGGUGGAAUAAGGUGCAACCUUGCGAAAUUGACCAUCCAAUGGACGAAUGCCUUCAUCUAUAACAGCUGGUGCCUUGCCCUUUUCGUCAGCUGAGGAAUAGGUCCGCUUGAGGACUUCAAUCGGGGGCAAGUAGCUGAGGUGAUUCUGAAAAUCAGCCUUGUAGUUGAGGGAAGACCUUGUUCUGAGGAAUCUCAUAAUCCACGGCGCAUAAGGCUUCAGCUCAAACGGUGAAAGUGCAACAUUUGCCAGAGUCCUCAUGAAGAAAUCGUGAUAAUUGACAGGAAUGCCAUGAAUGAUGUUGAAAACCAGAUUCUUCAUGAUGCCAACAAUUUCCUCAUCAGAUGAGUCGUGGCCUUUGAUUGGACUCAUAGUCUUCGUCAGAAUGCGAUAGACUGUCCUUGGUACAUACUGCAAUUCCUUCACGAGGAAUUUUGUCCUUGAGGCUUGACCAGGUUUCAAUGGCUUCAUCAGCACUUGCAUAUAGUGAUCAGUAAGCUCAGGCUCUUGGUACAUGCAACGAGCUCCUUCAGGUGGAGGACUGAUGGGCAGGGCGUGAAGCAAUUCAGAGGCCGGUGCCUUAUAGUGAGUAUUUUCGCUCAUCCAGUCCAAAACCCAGGAGUUCACAUCGUCAGCAUCUCCUGUGAUGUGCAAUGUUGCGUAGAAUUGAAGAAUGAGCUCUUCAUUCCAAUCAACUAUGUCUGUGCAAAAGUUGAGGAGGCCUGUGUCAUGAAGCACACUGAGGACAGGUGUGAAGCAUGGCAGUGAUUCCAUGUCCACAUGAGGAAUAUGCUCGUGAUCGAAGACUUUGUCCUUGUUGAAGAGCAGUGAAGAAUAGAAGUUGGCCUGGCUGGCGGUCCAGAAGCGCUUCCUUCUAAGACGAGCAGAAUCAUAGGGAUUAUAGUCUGUGAAGAACACAUGCUCACCGAAGAAAUCAUCAACCUUGAAUUUCUGCUUCUUUGAGAAUGGAUCCUUUGGUUUGGGCUGAGGAGUGUCAGUCAAUUGCAUUAUCACCUCAGGAAUAGCAAUCUCAGGUUCUUCAGACUGAGGAAUUUCAGCUUCUACUCCAGUGACAGCCUGGGUCUUCAAUUCUUCAUUUACAUUUUCUUCAGCGCUAGUGGCUGGAAUUUCUUCAUGGACAGACGAUGUGGCAUGUGGUUCAUCAGAUCCCAUUUGAACUGUAGUUGCUGGGGACUGAGGAAUUUGUUGCAAUGGUGUGAAGAGUGGAGAGUUGGGGUGCUGACUUUCCCAAAAGUCAUCAUUCAGCACAGGUGUGGUACAGCCAAUGUCCACAUCUUCAUCUUCCAUUUCUUCAACGCCGGCCUCUUCAGCAGUAAACUGAGGCAUAGGCGAGGAAACAGCUGGAGUUGAAGGGAUUUCAUCCACUUCAAUUUCUUCAUCCAUCUGCUCUGACGUAGCAGUAGAAGGAUUUUCUUCAUCAGAUCCACUAGGGAUCACAUAUUCUUCAUCAAAAGGGACGAUUUCCUUCGAUGGCAUGGUUGAGAUAGGAACAACAUCAAUGGGGUUUGCAAAUGAGCUGGUCAUAGACUUCAUCUUCUUCGGAGCUGAAGAAUCUGAAGAAGCUGAUGCCUUCCUUUUCUUCACUGCUGCACGCUCAGCAGCCUUAGUCUUCUUCACAUCUGAAGCAGAUGGAAGGAUCGGAGUUGGGGUAGGCGCAGGAGGAGCAGAGUAAUGUGGUUGAUUUUCUUCAGGCACAACUGAUGUAGUUGCCCUGACCUCUUCAUUUUCUUCAGGCGCACCACUAGUGGAUGCCCUGUCAAUUUCUUCAGCGGCUGGAAUGCAGUCAUCAGCCCUGGAACUCACAUUUUCUUCAGCAGCCUGAAUGUCAUCAGUGGUGCUGGCAUGUUCUUCAGUCGGCUGAGCAGAUGCUUCAGCCUGAGGAAUUUCUUGUUGCGUUGGAGCUGCAACAUUGGAGUUGAAUUUCUCAGUCAGUUUUACAAACCUGACCUUGGCUCCUUGCCAAUCAGCAUAGUAAGCAUUGAAAUCAUCGCUGAGGACUUUGAUUUCAGACUGGAUCUUCACAAGUUCGUCAGUUGUCAUAGAGACAACGUUGUUCUUCAGGAAUUUCUCCUUCCUCUACUGUGCUUUCUUGAUCUGCCUGGCCUUCUCAUAUUUCCAUUUCUCUUCUUGGAUGAAAGCAGUCAACAUAUGACUUUGGCCAGGAGUGAGCUUGAAAUUAGGCAUAGGAGUAUUUGGGUCCUUGUGCCAGAGAUCAAUGUAGUCGAGGAUCAACUUUGGAUCCAAAAGCAGUGGCACAUUUGUGCCCUUGGCUCUAGCGGCCCUGACUUGCCUAUCUCUGAUGAUUUCAGUAAGUUCCUCAUCAUCAGCUUCGUCUUCAUCAGACGGUACUUGGAAGGCGACCUGCUUCUUGUGAGGACUUGGUCGAGAACCUCGUCCAGCAGUGGUCUUUGUCUUCAGCAGAGAGGGUCCUGUUGAAGAAUUUGGUGCAGCUGAGGAACUAGCAGAAGCUCCUGAGGCAAUAGAGAUGCCUGUAGUCCUUUGGCACGUGGCAAGAUGCACAGGUGCUAAGGAUUUUGUCGGAGCAGCUGAGGACUUUGGAGGAGGAGCUGAGGACUUUGGAGGAGCAGGAGCAGCAUGAGGAAUUGGCCAUGAGGGCUUUGAAGAUUCUGGCCGUGAGGGCAUAGCCGAGGAACUUGGCCUUGAGGGCAUUGAAGGUGAAGCACUUGACUUGUGCGCAGGCUUCUUUGCCAUGGAUUUCUUCGGCUUGACAGAGGCCUCAGCGGCAGCAGCAGCAACCGAGUCUUCAUUGAAUUUCCUCACUGCUUCUCUUGCUUGUCUGGCCAGCUUGGCCUGGCGCUUGGCCCAUUCAUCAGGAUAGUCCUCACUGCGCUUGAGGCUGGUGGGAUCCGCUUCUUGGCGAGGUGCCAAUGGAGGUCUUGGGCAUGGAGGAUUGAGUGCGUAUUUCUUCAUGUAUUUGGGAGUAACAUAUCUGUACUCCCUCCACUCUCUUGCCCAUCUCCUUUCUAUCCUCUGGAUGCGCACCUUGUGCUGAUUUUUAUCCUCCUUACCAAACUUGGCCUCAUCAGGAGUGCAAUAGUAUUUGUAUAUAUCAUCAGGGAUUUCAAAAGCAGUGUUGAUUUCAGGCCUCUUUCCUCCUUUCUGUGGCUUCUUACCAUCAGCCAUUUUCUUCAGUUGAGGAAUUUGAACAAUUGAAUUCUCUGAAGAAGUAUGCAACUUUUCUUCGAGGAACGCUGCAAAUGAGUUAAGUUGAUGAGAACCUAGUGAUUCAGCAGCGGACAUGAGUACCUGUGAACAGAGUAUAGUUGCGAGGAAUUUGGAGAGGUCAUAUGCGUUCUCAGAAGGUUUUUCAAAAAGAACAAGUUGGAGGAAUUUGACCAGAUGAGUCUUGAAGAAUUUCACUAAGCGUUCUUUGUCUUAGGUUCCAGAGUUGUAUAGAUCGAAGAUCCACACAAUUGAGGAAUCUUGAAGAAAAAUUAUUGCUUAGAGAAACGAAUCAAGAACAGAUGACAUGUGAGGUGCUUAGUGUGUGAGGAUUUGAAGAACAACACCUUUGAAGAUUUUGUAGUAAUCAUAUGAAUCAAAGAGGGCAGUAAAAGUAACUUUUAAUUACCCUGGACGAAGAACACGACGAACUGGGAUGAAGAGAUGAGAAGUUCGUCUGUGCUGAUCUUCCACGCCCUAACUCGGCGGAGGAAGACAACUACGGCGGCGGCGGAGGGAAGAUUUCCACGGCCGGCGCGAGUACGACGGCGACGAGGUCGAGGCAGUGAAGCUCUUCCUCACCGGCGACGAUGAAGUAGCGGCAGCGCUAGGGUUUGAGAAGCUCGAGCUGGAGAUAGGUCGAGCGGAGUAAAAGAAGUGAGGAAGGGGAGGGGGUAUUUAUAGCCACGGUGAAAAACUGUUCGCGCGAAGAAUUUGGACGAACGUGCCCCUGACCCUUCUCAUUCGCUUGACAUGUGUCACCCACGUACUGAGAAGUGGAGAUCGUGUAAGAUCGUGGGUGAAUAGAUAAGUAUUUCGUGGGAAGCGGAACGGUUUGAGCGGCAAAGCCGAAAAUUUGGAUAAGAUAAGUUUUAACGUUCCGUUCGCAAAUUCUUCAGCUGACAAGGACACAGUGAAGAUUUUGAACGAGUUUCAAAUAGAACGCACAUGAAGAAUUUGUGAAUAGAUUGGGUUGAGUUUAGCAUAGAGGGGGAAGGGUCUGAUCACAUUCACUUAGCAGAAAUAUCAACUUGAAGAAAUAGCAAUAAGUGAAUGCUGUAGAGGACAUAAACUCAUAUAUAUAUAGCCAAUGAAGAAAAACGAUGGAAAUGGUGAAGACAAUGCAAAGUUGAAGAACAUGAACAACUGAGGAAUGUCAAAACAAAAAAAAAC